rfam:Streptomyces sp. CB02488 scaffold14, whole genome shotgun sequence.
CUUGAGCGAUCCGAGCCACAGCGGCCGGCCCGCCGGGCGGUCCUUGCCGUAGGUGGCGAGCAGCGCCUGCGCCUC